rnacentral:rRNA from 1 species
UACGUAGGGUGCAAGCGUUGUCCGGAAUUAUUGGGCGUAAAGGGCUCGUAGGCGGUUUGUCACGUCGGAUGUGAAAACCCGAGGCUUAACCUCGGGCCUGCAUUCGAUACGGGCUGACUAGAGUUCGGUAGGGGAGACUGGAAUUCCUGGUGUAGCGGUGAAAUGCGCAGAUAUCAGGAGGAACACCGGUGGCGAAGGCGGGUCUCUGGGCCGAUACUGACGCUGAGGAGCGAAAGCGUGGGUAGCAAACAGG